CCUACGGGAGGCAGCAGUGGGGGAAUCUUGCGCAAUGGGCGAAAGCCUGACGCAGCCAUGCCGCGUGAAUGAUGAAGGUCUUAGGAUUGUAAAAUUCUUUCACCGGGGACGAUAAUGACGGUACCCGGAGAAGAAGCCCCGGCUAACUUCGUGCCAGCAGCCGCGGUAAUACGAAGGGGGGCUAGCGUUGCUCGGAAUUACUGGGCGUAAAGGGAGCGUAGGCGGAUAGUUUAGUCAGAGGUGAAAGCCCAGGGCUCAACCUUGGAAUUGCCUUUGAUACUGGCUAUCUUGAGUAUGGGAGAGGUUAGCGGAACUCCGAGUGUAGAGGUGAAAUUCGUAGAUAUUCGGAAGAACACCAGUGGCGAAGGCGGCUAACUGGCCCAUUACUGACGCUGAGGCUCGAAAGCGUGGGGAGCAAACAGGAUUAGAUACCCUGGUAGUCCACGCCGUAAACGAUGAGUGCUAGUUGUCGGCAUGCAUGCAUGUCGGUGACGCAGCUAACGCAUUAAGCACUCCGCCUGGGGAGUACGGUCGCAAGAUUAAAACUUAAAUGAAUUGACGGCUGAGACCGNGCGAGACGACGACGAGGGAGAGG
rnacentral:rRNA from 1 species